rnacentral:lncRNA from 1 species
AAAAUGAACAGAUAACUAAAACCAAAACUUAAAAUAAGUACAAAAAGCAAUGUACCAACCUGAUAAAUGUUGCUUGUUUUAUAACAAAUAGGGUUGCAAAUUUUGGAUAAAACACAAUAUCAACAUAUUUUAAACGUAAUCGUCAUCACAAUACUAGACCAAUUAAACUGUCCAACAGUCUAAACGCGCCCAUUGCAGCGAUUAUAUGUCG